UACGUAGGUGGCAAGCGUUGUCCGGAAUUAUUGGGCGUAAAGCGCGCGCAGGCGGUCCUUUAAGUCUGAUGUGAAAGCCCACGGCUCAACCGUGGAAGGUCAUUGGAAACUGGGGGACUUGAGUGCAGAAGAGGAAAGUGGAAUUCCAAGUGUAGCGGUGAAAUGCGUAGAGAUUUGGAGGAACACCAGUGGCGAAGGCGACUUUCCGGUCUGUAACUGACACUGAGGCGCGAAAGCGUGGGGAGCAAACAGG
rnacentral:rRNA from 1 species